rnacentral:rRNA from 1 species
CCCUUAGAUGUUCUGGGCAGCACGCGCGCUACAAUGGUCUUCGCAAACGGAUGCAUUCUCGAAGGAGAAUGCCAAUCUUGGAAUCUAUGCCUUGGUCGGGACGGUUGCUUGCAAUUUUUCGACUCGAACCAGGAAUUCCUUGUAAUCGUGAUUCAUCACAUCACGAUGAAUACGUCCCUGCCCUUUGUACACACCGCCCGUCGCUCCUACCGAUCGAAGAGUUAGGUGAAUUGUUUUGAUCGAUAAGAUUUGACUAUGGUUAACUCUCGUUGUGAAAUUCUGUGAAUCUGACUGUUUAGAGGAAGGAAAAGUCGUAACA